GACGAACGCUGGCGGCGUGCUUAACACAUGCAAGUCGAACGAGUGGCGAACGGGUGAGUAAUACGUGAGUAACCGGCCCUCUUUUUGGGAUAAGCCUUGGAAACGGGGUCUAAUACCGAAUAAAGGGGGAUGGGCUCGCGGCCUUGUGGCUUGUUGGUGGGGUGAUGGCCUACCAAGGCGGUGACGGGUAGCCGGCCUGAGAGGGUGACCGGCGAACUUGGGACCGGGCUACGGCCCAUCCGCCUACGGUAGGGAGCAGUGGGGUAUAAUGGACAAUGGCCUGAAGCCUGCAGCAGCGACGCCGGGUGGGGGAUUACGGCUUUCGGGUUGUAAACCUCUUUCGCUAUCGAACCGGUAGCUGGAGAAGAAGCGCCGGCUAACUACGUGCCAGCAGCCGCGGUAAUUC
rnacentral:rRNA from 1 species